rnacentral:rRNA from 1 species
GACGAACGCUGGCGGCGUGCCUAAUACAUGCAAGUAGAACGCUGAAGAGAGGAGCUUGCUCUUCUUGGAUGAGUUGCGAACGGGUGAGUAACGCGUAGGUAACCUGCCUUGUAGCGGGGGAUAACUAUUGGAAACGAUAGCUAAUACCGCAUAACAAUGGAUGACACAUGUCAUUUAUUUGAAAGGGGCAAUUGCUCCACUACAAGAUGGACCUGCGUUGUAUUAGCUAGUAGGUGAGGUAAUGGCUCACCUAGGCGACGAUACAUAGCCGACCUGAGAGGGUGAUCGGCCACACUGGGACUGAGACACGGCCCAGACUCCUACGGGAGGCAGCAGUAGGGAAUCUUCGGCAAUGGGGGCAACCCUGACCGAGCAACGCCGCGUGAGUGAAGAAGGUUUUCGGAUCGUGAAGCUCUGUUGUAAGUCAAGAACGGGUGUGAGAGUGGAAAGUUCACACUGUGACGGUAGCUUACCAGAAAGGGACGGCUAACUACGUG